rnacentral:rRNA from 1 species
GCAAGUCGAACGAUCUUUGAUUAUAGCAAUAUUAUUAAAGAGGAGUGGCGGACGGGUGAGUAACACGUAGAUAAUCUGCCUUCAGACGGGGACAACUCAGGGAAACUGUGCUAAUACCCGAUGAGACCACAAGAAGGGAUUUUUGUGGCCAAAGGCGGGCAGCAAUGCUCGUGCUGAAAGAUGAGUCUGCGUCCUAUCAGCUAGUUGGUGGGGUAAAUGCCUACCAAGGCUAAGACGGGUAGCCGGGCCUGAGAGGGUGAACGGCCACACUGGGACUGAGACACGGCCCAGACUCCUACGGGAGGCAGCAGUGAGGAAUUUUCCGCAAUGGGCGCAAGCCUGACGGAGCGACGCCGCGUGAGGGAUGACAGCUUUCGGGUUGUAAACCUCUUUUAUUAAGGAAAAAGAUCUAUAUGCUAAUAUCAUGUAGAUUUGAUGGUACUUAUUGAAUAAGCCCCGGCUAACUACGUGCCAGCCGCCGC